rnacentral:rRNA from 1 species
GAACGAACGCUGGCGGCGUGCCUAACACAUGCAAGUCGAACGAGAAAGUUUCCUUCGGGAAACCAGUAAAGUGGCGCAAGGGUGAGUAACACGUGAAUAAUCUGCCUAAGAAUUCGGGAUAACUCUGCGAAAGCGGUGCUAAUACCGGAUAAGACCACGUUUCUUAUGGAAUGUGGCCAAAGGAGUCUCAAACUCCGUUUUUAGAUGAGUUCGCGGACCAUUAGCUUGUUGGCGGGAUAACAGCCCACCAAGGCAACGAUGGUUAGCCGGCCUGAGAGGGUGAACGGCCACACUGGAACUGAGACACGGUCCAGACUCCUACGGGAGGCAGCAGUGGGGAAUAUUGCGCAAUGGGCGAAAGCCUGACGCAGCAAUGCCGCGUGAGGGAUGAAGGAUUUUGGUUCGUAAACCUCUGUCAAAUGGGAAGAAUUCUGACGGUACCAUUAAAGGAAGCCCCGGCUAACUCCGUGCCAGCAGCCGCGGUAAUACGGAGGGGGCAAGCGUUGUUCGGAAUCAUUGGGCGUAAAGAGUAUGUAGGCGGCUGGAUAAGUCAGACGUGUAAGCCCACGGCUCAACCGUGGAAUUGCGUUUGAAACUAUUUAGCUUGAGUGCAGGAGAGGAAGGCGGAAUUCCCAGUGUAGCGGUGAAAUGCGUAGAUAUAGGAAGGAACACCAGUGGCGAAGGCGACACUCUGGACCAAAACUGACGCUGAGGUGCGAAAGCGUGGGUAGCAAACGGGGUUAGAUACCCCGGUAGUCCACGCCGUAAACGAUGUCAACUAACUGUUGGGCGGGUUUCCGCGCUUAGUGGUGAAGCUAACGCAAUAAGUUGACCGCCUGGGGAGUACGGUCGCAAGGCUGAAACUCAAAUGAAUUGACGGGGGCCCGCACAAGCGGUGGAGCAUGUGGUUUAAUUCGAUGCAACGCGAAGAACCUUACCUACCCUUGACAUACAGAGAACUUUCCAGAGAUGGAUUGGUGCCUUCGGGAACUCUGAUACAGGUGCUGCAUGGCUGUCGUCAGCUCGUGUCGUGAGAUGUUGGGUUAAGUCCCGUAACGAGCGCAACCCUUAUCCUUAGUUGCUAUCAGUUCGGCUGGGCACUCUAGGGAAACUGCCGGUGACAAGCCGGAGGAAGGCGGGGAUGACGUCAAGUCCUCAUGGCCCUUAUAGGCUGGGCUACACACGUGCUACAAUGGCGGGGACAGUGGGCCGCGACCCCGCAAGGGUGAGCUAAUCCCCAAAAACCGUCUCAGUUCGGAUUGUACUCUGCAACUCGAGUGCAUGAAGUUGGAAUCGCUAGUAAUCGCGGAUCAGCAUGCCGCGGUGAAUACGUUCCCGGGCCUUUUACACACCGC